rnacentral:lncRNA from 1 species
GGAGGAUGAAAACGAUGCCCAGCAGCUGAGGUGACCAAGCUCCCUGCACUUGGUAGAAAGACAACCUACAGGCUACAAGGGGUUCAUCAUCCGUAAGGUCGUGCUUAUAACAAGGAGCCCAGUGCUGUGUACUGUUUGUUUUCCUAAGAAUAUGUGCAUGCUCCCUAGAGCAAACAAAGAUUUUUAGCUUCCACCCUUGUCAGAAACAGGUGGUGUUGUUAGUCAGUGUGUGUGUGUGUGUGUGUGUGUGUGUGUGUGUGUGUGUGUGUGUGAGAAAGGAUAUAGCUAAGUCAGCACACAAAAGUGUCAAGAAAUUUACCAAGGAUGAAGUGAAAAGGGCAAGGAAGAGUUAAUUCAAGGCUGUUGCAAUGGAAGAAAGAAACUGAACACAACUUCGUUAAAACAAAGGAUUAGAGAACUGUGUACUGUUGGGUAAAGCUAACAGAAAAGCCCUGGAGUGUAUCAGUAGUGUGUGUGCUCAAAGCAGGGGCCUCCCAUGCUCGCUAAUUGCUGCUUAUUACCUUGGAACACCACUUUGCCCUGAGCCUGGGAAGCUGGCUCUGUCUUUCUUGACUGUUCAAUUCGAAAGAGAUGGUUUCCAGACUUUGCUGAAAGACUGUCCUGAGCAUUGACUGUUCUAGAGAAGAUCAUCUGACACACUUUGCCUGAGUACAUGGGAGCCCUUUCCUUCUUCUUUCCCCAAGGAGUUUUCACUGCUAUCUGUACACCCAUAGAGCCAUUCAUUAUGCAACAGCAAUGUUCAUCAAAGAAGUUCUGAGUUUCUCAGCGUCUGAGCAACAGUGUGAGGCAGCAUCCCGCAUCAGCAUCUUCUGGCAACGGCCGCUUGAAGAGUACUCACUAAGAUGCCAACACCAGUGACUGACAGAGCAAAAAUGGAAGAAUAAUGAUUUUUAUAUUUAUAAUCUAUAUAGUUUCUCUUUAAGAUUCCUGAUGGUUAUUCAUGGCUACAAUCAGAAAAACCUAUGAUAAGUGUCUUCCUUAGUCUUACAGAAAUAACUGAUUGCAUGAAAUGAUAAACAUUAUUUUAGCAAAAAAAAAAAAAGAUGGCUUUGUGUCGGAAAAGAGAGCAGCAUUGAAUCAAAUGUGCUAAGAAAAAAAGAAAGAAAGAAGAGAAAGAAAGAAAUAGGAAAUUAUUGCAAGAGGCUCUUAACUCUUGAUUUAACUCUUCUUAUUUCCAUUUGGUACAAGCAAGUACUAAGCAACUGCCUGAAGGAGGCAGAA